CUCAUUGUGUGAUUACCUCAGAACCUCUUCUUACCUGACAACACCUUAACACACGUUCUGCCCUUUCAACACAAUGGAUCGCAGAUGUUGUGUGUGACUUGGUGGAGUCACGCUCGCAUCAGGGCUCAGCAACAGGCUUUGGAGUAUAAACUUCAGGUGGGAUCUUUACGGCAUAAGCACAACUGAGGGAGGCACUGAGGGAUAACGCUGGACUAUGACAUACGUAGCUAAGGAUGUUGCAUUUGCCGGCUGCAUGGUGCAGCAUCGAGGACGAAAGGUAUGAAACCGAACUCGUACAAGCCAUCAUCAGGAGUGUUGUUAAUGAUGAUUAGUGAAACCUCAAGGACAGAGGAAUGGACUUUAAGCAGACAUGAGGAAGUAUCUGCCAAAAUGGUCACGGAUCCCCCCCAGUACUACUGCUCAUUCUGUUCACCAGUUCCAGAGGUCGACGUCACCGGCCUUCUAGGCUGCACUGAACUGUGUUAUUACGCACACCUGGUUCCAAUUCCUCACUGAUUGUAUUUGU